rnacentral:misc_RNA from 1 species
GAAAUGCGAUAAGUAAUGUGAAUUGCAGAAUUCAGUGAAUCAUCGAAUCUUUGAACGCACAUUGCGCCCGCCAGUAUUCUGGCGGGCAUGCCUGUUCGAGCGUCAUUUCAACCAUCAAGCCCUCGGGCUUGCGUUGGGGUCCUGCGGCUGCCGUAGGCCCCUAAAACUAGUGGCGGGCUCGCUGUCACACCGAGCGCAGUAGCAUUUCUUCGCUCUGGGCGCGGCGGCGAGCGCUUGCCGUAAAACACACCACUUUUAAAGGUUGACCUCGGAUCAGGUAGGAAUACCCGCUGAACUUAA